CCUGCAGAUGGAUCAUUUCGAUGAAAACCUUUUUUUUGAGGUGUGGCUYGCACCUGUCCAACUAAACUUGAGCUACCUUUUUCAACACGGUUGCAUCGGUUGAGAGCCUGUCAAAGAACGCGAAAGUGUCCUUUGGGUUGGGCCCUCGACACUUUACACAAACACUUUUGAUCUUCUAGGAUUUGAAUGACAAUUUAUGACUGGUAAUUCGGUCGUUUAAAUUUAAAAACAACUUUUGGCAACGGAUCUCUUGGUUCUCCCAUCGAUGAAGAACGCAGCGAAUUGCGAUAAGUAAUGUGAAUUGCAGAAGUGAAUCAUCGAAUCUUUGAACGCACCUUGCGCUCCCUGCAGAUCUAAUCUGGGGAGCAUGCCUGUUUGAGGGCCGCGAAUUGUUUCGAACCACUCUUUUUUUAAUUAAGAAGGGCUGGCUCGGUAGUGAGGGUUUUUUUGCCAUUAACCGUGGCUCCCUCGAAAUACAUUAGCGCAUCCAUUUGAUAGGCAAGAACGGACGAAAGCUCAUCUUUCGCUCUCUCUUCCCUGCCGGGUUUUGAUAAUAUCAGGACUUCGGAGGCGGAGAAAGGGCAAGAGCUGGACGCAACGAUCUUGCUGUUUGGCGUGCUUCUGAACCUCGCCCAUGCUUUGCUUCUUGCAAAGAAGGGAUUUUAAUAAUUCAUCGGCCUCARAUUGGUAGGACUACCCGCUGAACUUAAGCAUAUCAAUAAGCGGAGGAAAAGAAACUAACAAGGAUUCCCCUAGUAACGGCGAGUGAAGAGGGAAGAGCCCAAGAUUGAAAGCUGGCGCCUUCGGCGUCCGCAUUGUAAUCUCAAGAAGUGUUUUCCGCUUCGGACCAUGCCUAAGUCCCUUGGAAAAGGGCAUCAUAGAGGGUGAUAAUCCCGUACAUGGCAUGGAGCGCCCGAGGCUUUGUGAUACGCUUUCUAAGAGUCGAGUUGUUUGGGAAUGCAGCUCAAAAUGGGUGGUAAAUGCCAUCUAAGGCUAAAUAUUGGGGAGAGACCGAUAGCGAACAAGUACAGUGAUGGAAAGAUGAAAAGAACUUUGAAAAGAGAGUUAAACAGUACGUGAAAUUGCCAAAAGGGAAGGGUAGGAGGUCAGAGAUGCGUCUUGGGAUUCAGCCUUGCUUUUGCUUGGUGUUUUUCCCAAGUGGCAGGCCAACGUCGGUUUUGGGCACUGGAGAAGGGUGGAAGGAACGUGGCACCUCUCGGGGUGUGUUAUAGCCUUCUACUGGAUACAGCGACCGGGACCGAGGACAGCAGCGUACUCGCAAGAGCGGGCCUUCGGGCACCUUUACGCUUAGGACGUUGGCAUAAUGGCCCUCUACCACCCGUCUUGAAACACGG
rnacentral:rRNA from 1 species